rnacentral:rRNA from 1 species
UGCUUUGCUGACGAGUGGCGACGCGUGAGAAUUGUGUGGGAUAGUGCCUUUAGGAGGGGGAUACCUACUGGAAACGGUAGCUAAAACCGCAUAACGUCGCAAGACCAAAGAGGGGGACCUUCGGACCUCUUGGCUUCNGAUGUGCCCAGAUGGCAUUUCCUAUUAGGUGGGGCAUACGCUCACCUAGGCCACUAUCCCUAACGGGUCUGAGAAGAGGACCACCCACACUGAAACUGAGACACNGCCCACACUCCUACGAGAAGCGGCAGUGGGUCCUAUUUCACACAGGGCGCAAGCCUGAUGCAGCCUUGCCGCGUGUAAGAAGAAGGA